CAAGGAACUGUAGCCACGCAAAGCUUGAAGUUCCUACAUGGCUGAAUUUAAAGACACUUUAUUCCUAAAACAUGGAAAGGUCAGCAUCAGCCAAUAGAUUGAGAAUUUGCAUUGUCUGAGUUAAGGAAAGCAUCUUGCAUUUUCUGGAGCACUGAGCAUCUCGUCUUGAACCUUCUGAGUUCUGGGAAGCUCCAAAUUCAUUUGCUGAAGCAAGAAGGAAAAACAGUUCUUGGAGGGAAUCUGAAAGAGAAUGAGACUGCACUGCCAAUGGUCUUCUGGUCAACCCUGGCCUGUGCGACUCCACAUGGGUCCUGUCCAUCACACUCUGCUCAUGAGAAAAUGCCCAAGAAAUACCCACAAGUUUUAAGCAAAGAAACUCCGCUUCACUGGAGAUAUGCUGUUAUUUGUGAGACCACCAUGCCAACCUAAUAUUGCUGAACAAAAAUAUUGACUUCCAGACAACACUGAAUAGAAGUUUUGGUGAUGGGCAUCUGUGAUGGCUGUUAUUAUACGCUGCCUAGAUUCUUUGGAAAUGAAGGACUCAUGCCUACAGCUACUGAGAGUGCUACCUGAAGACAACCCUCAGCUUUAAGCCCUUUUCAGGGAUCGUCUUGCUUGAAAAAAGCUGUCUCACACAAGGGCUUGCCCCUUCCUGGUCAAGACACUCCAGCAUUAGAAUCAAGAUAUCAUCCAGUUUUUUUCCCUGAUCUUUACUAAUUUCAGAGAUGAACAUAUUUUAAUCCGGGUCAGAUCAGCUCCUUGCAGGGAGGAAUUUCUAUCAUUCUCUUUCAAAUGUACAUCCAAGGGCAGAGUUCACAUGAAGACGUGGGCAAAAAAUGCUCUUCUGGCAUGUUCUCAAGUCAAGAAUCUCAUUCUGGGAAGAGUCCUGUGGAACCUACUCUCAGAUGUGAGCUAAUUAGUGAGCUGCACAUCAAAAGAAGUGAAGUGUAUCUUGUAAAUAGGAUUUCAUUUAAAACAGAUCAAAGAAAGAUCUACUGAAUCACUCCCUCAUCCACUGAUUUCUCCAAGCAUCAGGCAGACAGUGAAGAGAACAACAAGUCACGAGAAUGAUAAACAUAGCUCCAAAGAACAACUGUGAUGCUCAAGUCAAAUAUUAAUGAGAAGAGAGAACCAAAUAUAUCCAGGGGUGGAAUUAUACUUCCUGGGACAUGCAUGGUUGGGUUUCUGAUGUAGGCCAGGAGGGCAGUAAUCUGUGUUUGUGACCCAGUCUACUUCUAAAAAUACAAGGUUAGAAAUAAGAUCUCUAGACUCUGUUCUGACUGACUGGCUGUGUGAUCUUGGUCAAGUUGCUUAACCUCUCUGAGCUCACUUCUCUUAUCCAUAAUAUAUGAAUCCCAGUCCUUUCUCCACUCACUUCCCAAGAGACUUGUGAAGAUCAUGUAAGAUGAUUAAUGUGACAAGGGUUUGGAAAAAAUUUAAAAUGGCUAUACAAAUGUGAAGCAUUUUUGGCAUUAUUAACAAGGUCUCCAUAGGCAGAAUAAAUUAGAAGAAGAGAAAAGUUUCCCAGAUGAUUUUGGCCAAAAUUCCAGCUCCUGAGGAAAAUAGCAUCCCAGUGGGCUGCCUCCGCAGAUCAGAUUUGCAG
rnacentral:lncRNA from 1 species